rnacentral:rRNA from 1 species
AACGUAGGAGACAAACGUUAUCCGGAGUUACUGGGCGUAAAGGGCGUGUAGGUGGUUGCGUAAGUCUGGCGUGAAAUUUUUCGGCUUAACCGGGAAAGGUCGUCGGAUACUGCGUAACUAGAGGACGGUAGAGGCGUGUGGAAUUCCGGGUGUAGUGGUGAAAUGCGUAGAGAUCUGGAGGAAUACCGAUGGCGAAGGCAGCCAUCUGGCCUAACACUGACGCUGAGGUGCGAAAGCAUGGGGAGCAAACAGG